rnacentral:rRNA from 1 species
CCUACGGGUGGCAGCAGUGAGGAAUAUUGGUCAAUGGGCGAGAGCCUGAACCAGCCACGGCGCGUGAGGGAGUACUGCCCUAUGGGUUGUCAACCUCUUUUGUCGGGGAGCAAAAGCCGGACGUGUCCGGCUGUGAGAGUACCCGCAGCGAAAGCAUCGGCUAACGCCGUGCCAGCAGCCGCGCUAAUACGGAGGAUGCGAGCGUUCUACGGAUUUAUUGGGUUUUACGGGUGCGCAGGCGGAUUUUUAAGUCAGCGGUCACAUCGUGGGGCUCAACCCCAUCCAGCCGUUGAAACUGGGGAUCUAGAGUGUGCGAGAGGUAUGCGGAAUGCGUGGGGUAGCGAUGAAAUGCAUAGAUAUCACGCAGAACCCCGAUUGCGAAGGCAGCAUACCGGUGCACAACUGACGCUCAGGCACGAAAGCGUGGGUAUCGAACAGGAUUAGAUACCCUUGUAGUC